GAUGAACGCUGGCGGCGUGCCUAAUACAUGCAAGUCGAGCGAACAGACGAGGAGCUUGCUCCUCUGACGUUAGCGGCGGACGGGUGAGUAACACGUGGAUAACCUACCUAUAAGACUGGGAUAACUUCGGGAAACCGGAGCGAAUACCGGAUAAUAUAUUGAACCGCAUGGUUCAAUAGUGAAAGACGGUUUUGCUGUCACUUAUAGAUGGAUCCGCGCCGCAUUAGCUAGUUGGUAAGGUAACGGCUUACCAAGGCAACGAUGCGUAGCCGACCUGAGAGGGUGAUCGGCCACACUGGAACUGAGACACGGUCCAGACUCCUCCGGGAGGCAGCAGUAGGGAAUCUUCCGCAACGGGCGAAAGCCUGACGGAGCAACGCCGCGUGAGUGAUGAAGGUCUUCGGAUCGUAAAACUCUGUUAUUAGGGAAGAACAAAUGUGUAAGUAACUAUGCACGUCUUGACGGUACCUAAUCAGAAAGCCACGGCUAACUACGUG
rnacentral:rRNA from 1 species